UCGGGUAAAAUUAAGAAAAAAAUAACUUAUUAUUUUAUGAACACAGUUGAAAAGCCUUUUGGAACGAAUGCUUUGUGAUUGGAAUGAAUUAACCAACAUGCAAGAAAUUGAAAUAAUAAAAAAAUACGCGGAUAUUGCAAGAUUUAUUACAUUGCUAACGACAUGUAAGCAAUAUCUUAAGUAAUUCCUUUCUGUCUUAGAUUCGAUUACUGUGAUUCAGACUUUAAUUAUUCAAUUAUAGUGUUCGUCUAUGGAAGUAUUUUUGUUUUCAUUUUGAUACAGUUGCUACCACAUAUUUUUCUGACCAUUACAUCUAGUAAAAAUGACACCAAUUUACGACAACUUCCGGUCCUUAUAGAAUGUUUUCUGGAUCAGCAGAAAUAUUAUUUUUUACUUUUACUGCUUUUAUCUUUUGAAGCAAUAUGUUGUUUUACUACGAUAAUAGCUACAGAAACACUUAUUAUGGCAUAUGCACAUCAUGCAUGUGGCUUAUUUGAAAUAGCCAGGUAAAGCAAAGUUAUUUGCUUUAAGAAAUGAAUUAAUUGAUUUUAAUACCAUUUGCAAAUAUAUUACAGUUACGUUAUCAAUUUCAGUUGUCGCAUAGAACAAGCUUUUCUUGAAAAUAAGGUAAAAGGUAUUACAUCUGUAACGCAAAGAAAUUCGAUAAUAUGUCAAGGAAUAAUCAACGGAUUUGAAAUGUAUAACAGAGCAGUCGAGUUUAUCGAUAUGGUACAAAAAAGUUAUAAAUGGGCAUAUUCAUUAUUAAUGCCAUUAGGGGUGCUAUCGCUGAGCAUUAAUCUUUUUAACGUGAGUAAUUAUUAAUAGUAUACACACUUAUUGAUAAUACGCAUACGUGUACAUCAUGCAUACGUAUUCAUAUAAAUAUUUAUAGAUUUAUGCACGUAGUAUCAAUUGAUGUAAUAUCUAUGUCGAGACUGUAUCCAUAAAUACAUUUUUAACUAUUUUCUCCCUUUAAAAGCAAAUCAGUUUUUUAUAUGUCAUAGUUUUCUCGAUUGAUAACGUUCAUUGAAUAUUGUCUCUUCCCUCCGCAAGCAAAUUAAUCAUUUAUAUUACAGUUUUCUCGAUUAAUAAACUCCAGAAACUAUAUCGAGCUGAUUAUUAGUUUUAUACAUAUUGUUGGCAUUUUUGGAUAUAUGUUCUUUUUCAACUAUUUAGGACAACAAAUAAUCGAUCAUAGCAGCAAUGUUUUCCACAGAUUGUGAGUAACAUAUACGCUAAUUUUUAACCUUUAUUUCACCAAAUAUCCGAACAACUUACAUUUACCAAAGGGUUAUUUGCGUAUCAUUAUAUUUUGUAUGGAACUCUUAAUAUACUUAUUUUGUGCUCAUACGUACAUAUACAUAUAUAUAUACCUUAUGUACACAUAUACAUAGAUGUCCUGGUUAGUUUUGAAAAAUUUAUUCAACUUAAAUGAAACUGAAAUAGAUACCCGAAUAUUUCUUCGAGAAUAAGGUAUACUAAUAAAAUUAAUCACAUGAAUGAAAAAUUUCUAAAACUUAUUUGUUAUUUAUAAAUCCAUAUUGUUUUACUUUUACUUGUUAUACUGAUAUGAGGAUAUUAAGUGCAAGUGAAACAAGCAGGUUAAACACUCAAUUAGUUAAGAAUUAAAGAAAAAUAAAGAUACACCAUCAAAGCUUCCAAUUCUGAUUUUAGAUACAACGUCAAAUGGUACGUAGCUCCGUUGAAAGCGCAAAAAUUAUUGCUGCUUGUAAUGCAAAGAAGCAUACGACAUUGUACAAUCAUCAUGGACGGCUUGUUUAUUACGUCAUUCGAAGGAUUUGCCACGGUAAAAUUUUGGCACUACAAAUAAUACUUUAUAGAAGAUUUUCACUUCAGAUUUCCUCAGAUAGGAUUUUUAUUUUAGCUUGGAAACACGUCAUUUUCAUACUUUGCGCUGAUUUUUUCCCUUUUUUGAUUAUUUGCAUAAAAAUUGAAAUUUAGAAAGUUGCCACGAUGAAAAUAGUUCUAGCAUACCUACACAACCAUAGAAAAAUAUAGUGAACAUUUUGGUUGUGGAACGUUGCAAAUAGAAGACAAAUAAUACUAGCAGAAUGCCAAAACUAGGGCCUACCAUUGCAUCUCUUAUAGAAUCUCCAAUGUGAACCAAAUCUGAAGAAUAUAUUACGCAAUAAAUCAGUAACAACAAAACAGAACUAAUAAUAUGUAACAAUGUGACAAUUUGGCCAAUCCUAAACAGAUCUAUUUAUCGCAAAAACGCUUAGAUUGGAACCAAAUGUAAAUUAGAUGUGUUAUCAGUAGAAAUGGGGAUAGAUUAGUAUCAAAACAAAUCUGUUUCCAGAAGAAAUAACAGAAAAAUGUCAAAUUCUUGUAUUAAUGUGGAAUUAAAAAUUUUACUGUCAAAAAGUGGCUUUUAUAUAAUUUUUAACCUAAUUUUGAAUACACGCCUUUAAAGCAGUCACUAAAACAUGUGAAAAUCACAAAUAAAAAAUAACAUUACUGAACCUUUUAUUCAAAAGAGUAUACAACAUUAAUAAUUAAGUUGUGUACUUCUAAAAUAAAAAAAAUAUGUUAUUGUUUUAUUAGCUCAUGCAUUUUUAUCAAAAUUAAUCUCUGAAAAAAAUCCACUCAUGAUUAUAUGAUAAUACUGUUAAAUAUUAUAAUAUAAUCAAGCACAAAUAAACGUAGUUAAAAAUUUCAAACAAUAUGACUGUAUUCACUUUUUUUCUAACGCGUUUGGACGUACUUUCAUGUCAUUUUCAAGAGUAUGACAUACAUAAGUAAUAUUUGUUAGAGGCGUGAGAAAUUGUGGCAGCCUUUCAUCAUUAAUUUAUGAAUGAAAUUGUACACUCAAUUCAUAUUAGUUAGCCAGAUGGGUCAAGAACAUAUUAGUAUAUAAUAUGUUAACUUCAAGAAUGCUAUUAUAGUAUACAAAAUCACAGACAGUACAGACACCACUCACCAAGGAUUCAACGAUAGUCUGGUACUCUCACAGUACAAUUCGUCA
rnacentral:lncRNA from 13 species